UACAGAGGUCUCGAGCGUUAGGCGGAAUCACUGGGCUUAAAGCGUGUGUAGGUGGAUGCCUAAGUACCUUGUGAAAUCUCACAGCUUAACUGUGAAACUGCAUUGGAUACUAUUCGGCUUGAGAGUUGGAGGGGGGACUGGAAUUCUCGGUGUAGCAGUGAAAUGCGUAGAUAUCGAGAGGAACACCAGUGGCGAAGGCGAGUCCCUGGACAACUUCUGACGCUGAGGCACGAAAGCUAGGGGAGCAAACAGG
rnacentral:rRNA from 1 species